CUUCCUCCUUGCCGCCAACAUUUGCGACGGUGGAGAGUUUUGGAUUUGAUUUCCGACAGUCGGGUGAUCGGGUAGCCGAAACAGAGAUCCGACAACUGUAUAUUUAACAGCUGAUCCAUCGUGUCGCCACAGUCGCUACUAUUCCAUAAACCGUAUUCCAGAAAAAUCCAUUCUUCUCUCAGGAACGGAUCACCUCCUUCAACAGAGUCAUCACGUUCAAAGGAUGACAUGCAGUUACAAGCUGAAAGAUGAAAUAUGUCCUGGACCAAAACCGUCCUCCAGGAGAGCUCAUAGUAAAGGAGGAUGAUAUCUGCUCAACCUGUGAAGACUUUUGGAUCCUGAAUAUGACACAAUGGAUGGAAUCCUCCG